rnacentral:rRNA from 1 species
UGGGGAAUUUUGGACAAUGGGCGCAAGCCUGAUCCAGCCAUGCCGCGUGUGGUAAGAAGGCCUUCGGGUUGUAAACCGCUUUUGUCAGGGAAGAAACGAGUUUCUCUAAUACAGAGACUUAAUGACGGUACCUGAAGAAUAAGCACCGGCUAACUACGUGCCAGCAGCCGCGGUAAUACGUAGGGUGCAAGCGUUAAUCGGACUUACUGGUCGUAAAGCGUGCGCAGGCGGUUAUGCAAGACAGAGGUGAAAUCCCCGGGCUCAACCUGGGAACUGCCUUUGUGACUGCAUAGCUAGAGUAUGGGAGAGGGGAAUGGAGUUCCGCGUGUAGCAGUGAAAUGCGUAGAGAUGCGGAGGAACACAGAGGGCGAAGGCAAGCCCCUGGGCCUGGACUGACGCUCAUGGACGAAAAGGUGGGGAGCAAACA